rnacentral:rRNA from 1 species
UUCCGGUUGAUCCUGCCGGAGGUUACUGCUAUCGGUAUUCGACUAAGCCAUGCGAGUUAAAUGUUCUUCGUGAACAUAGCGAACUGCUCAGUAACACGUGGAUAACCUGCCCUUAGGUUCGGCAUAACUCCGGGAAACUGGAGAUAAUUCCGAAUAAACCAUUCCUGCUGGAAUGCUUUUUGGUUCAAAGACUUCGGUUGCCUAAGGAUGGAUCUGCGGUCUAUCAGGUAGUAGUGGGUGUAAGGUACCUACUAGCCUACGACGGAUAUGGGUUGUGAGAGCAAGAGCCCAGAGAUGGAUUCUGAGACAUGAAUCCAGGCCCUACGGGGCGCAGCAGGCGCGAAAACUUUACAAUGCGGGAAACCGCGAUAAGGGGAUACCGAGUGCCAGCAUAUUAUGUUGGCUGUCCACAUGUGUAAACGGCAUGUGUUAGCAAGGGCCGGGCAAGACCGGUGCCAGCCGCCGCGGUAACACCGGCGGCCCGAGUGGUAAUCACUUUUAUUGGGUCUAAAGGGUCCGUAGCCGGUUUGAUCAGUUCUUCGGGAAAUCUGACAGCUCAACUGUUAGGCUUCCGGGGAAUACUGUCAGACUUGGGACCGGGAGAGGUAAGAGGUACUACAGGGGUAGGAGUGAAAUCUUGUAAUCCCUGUGGGACCACCAGUGGCGAAGGCGUCUUACCAGAACGGGUCCGACGGUGAGGGACGAAAGCUGGGGGCACGAACCGGAUUAGAUACCCGGGUAGUCCCAGCCGUAAACGAUGUUCGCUAGGUGUCAGGGACGGUGCGACCGUUUCUGGUGCCGUAGGGAAGCCGUGAAGCGAACCACCUGGGAAGUACGGCCGCAAGGCUGAAACUUAAAGGAAUUGGCGGGGGAGCACUACAACGGGUGGAGCCUGCGGUUUAAUUGGAUUCAACGCCGGG